CAGCAGCCACGGUAAUACGAAGGGGGCUAGCGUUGUUCGGAAUUACUGGGCGUAAAGCGCACGUAGGCGGAUAUUUAAGUCAGGGGUGAAAUCCCAGAGCUCAACUCUGGAACUGCCUUCGAUACUGGGUAUCUUGAGUAUGGAAGAGGUGAGUGGAAUUCCGAGUGUAGAGGUGAAAUUCGUAGAUAUUCGGAGGAACACCAGUGGCGAAGGCGGCUCACUGGUCCAUUACUGACGCUGAGGUGCGAAAGCGUGGGGAGCAAACAGGAUUAGAUACCCGCGUAGUCCCUGUCUCUUAUAC
rnacentral:rRNA from 1 species